GUCAUGUGCCAGGAAUGGUUACUGCGUAAUCAAUUUUUUGGGUACUUCGUCAACUGGCGGAGAAAUUUGCUGAUGCGCCAAAUCCCGUGCGAGUUUCUUCGAUAUUUCGCCGGAAAAUCAGUUUAAAACAGGUAAGAUCGGUUCAUAUGCCAAGAAUUCGUACAUGGUAACGAAGAACCCAUAUCGAGGGACUCUUAUGAACCAAGAAUAGAAACUAGCAAGUCUUUAUAAACGUAAACAGAAUGAUGAAAAGGGAAAAUUAUAUGGUAAUUUCUCAUCUUGGUGGUGUAUGCUACAAUGUGGAACCAACUACACGGCUCGUCGAUGGUGUAGCAGGAGAUUUGCUUGACCAACUUUGAAAAUCGCGAGCCCGGGUCUCCUGGUCGUAUUCCUUAUUAUAUACCAAGCCACUUUGGUUACUCAACCCGCCGUUGGCGCGGUGGUCGGCAGGCUAUUCAUAGUAACAAGACCGAGGGAUUUCUCCACAAGUAAAAAUUACCUAGCUAACGGCCGUGAUUCCAAUACGGAGAACGUGAGUAACAUUUUAUUCAUUGAUUUAUUUGGAGGCCGAUGAGAUCUUUGUGAACUUUGUUCGUGUACAUAUGUUGUCGUAUUCGGAAUCGUGUAUAUUCGUAUUAUUCUAAACCACGUGAAUGGAUUCUGGAAGGAUCUAUUCAAUCGUAUCGUAAAUGUGGAGCUCGCCAAGCCAGGAUCGACAGCAAGUGGACUCGUAGAGAAUUGAAGAAACCAGGCUGUGACAAAGACGAUUUUUCGCCUGGGCCAGAAUAAGGAAUAAAGAUGCGGUGGAUACUAAAUUGCAGCCCAAAACAAUUUACGACAAUUCAUUGCUGCUGCUGAAAUUCGGGCACCAAGUCUCUUGAGCUUCAGUGGAAUGGACUUUCCCCGUGUAUUGUUCAUGGUGUGGAUUGCUGCAUGAACACGACUGCGCUAGUUUUUAAGGCCUUCCCAAGAAAGGUGCUGAAAGCAUCCUCCAUGCCGGCACUACAUCUACCGUCGCCGUCGGUUUUACAGCAAUGAACAACAUCCUGUCCCCUCCGGCGAAGUAUCUUCAGUGGGCUGACCGUGUUCUCGACCGUCGGUGCAUAGAUUAUCCCAUCCGAUCGCUCCCGCACAACAUUGUUGUAAUCCUCAUGACUGAAACGAGACCAGCUACCAUCGAUUUUCUCUGGAGGCAUUGUCCUGCUGUAGGGCGAGUGACUCUUCUACUGGUUGCAGUAUCCUGCAAGACCUGGGUCCUGUCAGUUCUCUUCGCAAUCUCUGAUUGAGGCACUGAUGCAUCAGAUCACUCUUCAAGGACAAGGCUGUACCGGCACGAUAUCGCCUCAUUGAGAAUAUGACCAAUUUAACAUCUACUAUCUGUUGAGGUGGAUUCAUAACAAAGCAUUUGAGCAUUUUUUCUCUCUUUUUAAUGAAUCGACAUAUUUGUCAGAUUUCCACGCAUUUACAGAGUAUAAGUGCAGACCCUUGCGGAGUUGGGCACCAGAGCCAAUGAUGACAUGUGCCAAUAUAUUGUUAUUUCUGAUUACCUGUAUAGUCCUUGUAUAAAACAAACAGUGCUCCAUAGUAUUAAGUCAUAUUUGACAACAUUAUUAGCUCUUGAGUUUGGUUUAGCUUCAGAAUUAAAAGGUGGCACAUUCAGAUAUAGCUUUGAGUAGAUGAACUCCUCAAAUUUCUUUAAAAGUCAAUAUUAUUUAAAACUUUCUUUUGCAGACUGUUGUGAACAUCUAGGGGAAUCUAGGCAGAAAUUCUGACCUGGGGUCAAAACUGGCUCUCUACUAGGGCAGAGACAUGUAUUCAUCCACAGGCAGAAGUGUGGCACUGACACAUAGUCCGUACUGAACUGUGAAGCUGUGGUAAAUACAUGACUGUGAUGGGUGAAAGUGGAUUUAUUCUUCAAUCUUUGGUGGAUUCUUAAUCUACAGAGCCAGGCCAUAACAGGGAUAUACUUUUUGAUAAUUAAUUUAGGGAAAUAUUGUGUCAGUGGCAAGUUUAGAACCUGUAUUCUAAUAGGCCCAGUCUGCAAGUGACGAUUUGAUGGCAAUCCUGUACACAAAUAAAUUUUUCUCAGGCAAUCGGUAUUGGAAUGUUUUGAAUUUUUACAAUUAUUUUGAUAAAAGCCUCUUCAUAAUACAUAUAAAAUUUGGUGGGAAUUAAAGCACCCUUGGUGUACUUUUUUCACCAACCUAUGUUUAUAAAAUGUACACAGAAUGUACACGCUGGCUAAUAGAGGUAUCUGGACUGCAAUUUUUUUUUUGCGUCUCAGUUGUUGAAUUGAUUCAUAAAUACAGUAGUUGUCAGGUUCAUAAUAAUGUUCAGUUAUGGAUAAUUUGAUUCUUUUCUGGUAUUUUGAUCGUGUACAACUCAAAAUUUAGCAAGGGGGGAUUUGCUGUGUAUUCACUCUUUGUAAUUCGCGCCUUACGUUGGUGGCGACGUCUGUGUUAAGUUGAAUAAACCUCGUUGUAGUUUCGGUAUUGAGA